UUAAGCGACUAAGCGUACACGGUGGAUGCCCUGGCAGUCAGAGGCGAUGAAGGACGUGCUAAUCUGCGAUAAGCGUCGGUGAGGUGAUAUGAACCGUUAUAACCGGCGAUUUCCGAAUGGGGAAACCCAGUGUGUUUCGACACACUAUCAUUAACUGAAUCCAUAGGUUAAUGAGGCGAACCGGGGGAACUGAAACAUCUAAGUACCCCGAGGAAAAGAAAUCAACCGAGAUUCCCCCAGUAGCGGCGAGCGAACGGGGAGGAGCCCAGAGCCUGAAUCAGUGUGUGUGUUAGUGGAAGCGUCUGGAAAGGCGCGCGAUACAGGGUGACAGCCCCGUACACAAAAAUGCACAUAUUGUGAGCUCGAUGAGUAGGGCGGGACACGUGGUAUCCUGUCUGAAUAUGGGGGGACCAUCCUCCAAGGCUAAAUACUCCUGACUGACCGAUAGUGAACCAGUACCGUGAGGGAAAGGCGAAAAGAACCCCGGCGAGGGGAGUGAAAAAGAACCUGAAACCGUGUACGUACAAGCAGUGGGAGCCUCUUAAUGGGGUGACUGCGUACCUUUUGUAUAAUGGGUCAGCGACUUAUAUUCUGUAGCAAGGUUAACCGAAUAGGGGAGCCGAAGGGAAACCGAGUCUUAACUGGGCGUUAAGUUGCAGGGUAUAGACCCGAAACCCGGUGAUCUAGCCAUGGGCAGGUUGAAGGUUGGGUAACACUAACUGGAGGACCGAACCGACUAAUGUUGAAAAAUUAGCGGAUGACUUGUGGCUGGGGGUGAAAGGCCAAUCAAACCGGGAGAUAGCUGGUUCUCCCCGAAAGCUAUUUAGGUAGCGCCUCGUGAAUUCAUCUCCGGGGGUAGAGCACUGUUUCGGCAAGGGGGUCAUCCCGACUUACCAACCCGAUGCAAACUGCGAAUACCGGAGAAUGUUAUCACGGGAGACACACGGCGGGUGCUAACGUCCGUCGUGAAGAGGGAAACAACCCAGACCGCCAGCUAAGGUCCCAAAGUCAUGGUUAAGUGGGAAACGAUGUGGGAAGGCCCAGACAGCCAGGAUGUUGGCUUAGAAGCAGCCAUCAUUUAAAGAAAGCGUAAUAGCUCACUGGUCGAGUCGGCCUGCGCGGAAGAUGUAACGGGGCUAAACCAUGCACCGAAGCUGCGGCAGCGACGCUUAUGCGUUGUUGGGUAGGGGAGCGUUCUGUAAGCCUGCGAAGGUGUGCUGUGAGGCAUGCUGGAGGUAUCAGAAGUGCGAAUGCUGACAUAAGUAACGAUAAAGCGGGUGAAAAGCCCGCUCGCCGGAAGACCAAGGGUUCCUGUCCAACGUUAAUCGGGGCAGGGUGAGUCGACUCCUAAGGCGAGGCCGAAAGGCGUAGUCGAUGGGAAACAGGUUAAUAUUCCUGUACUUGGUGUUACUGCGAAGGGGGGACGGAGAAGGCUAUGUUGGCCGGGCGACGGUUGUCCCGGUUUAAGCGUGUAGGCUGGUUUUCCAGGCAAAUCCGGAAAACCAAGGCUGAGGCGUGAUGACGAGGCACUACGGUGCUGAAGUGACAAAUGCCCUGCUUCCAGGAAAAGCCUCUAAGCAUCAGGUAACAUCAAAUCGUACCCCAAACCGACACAGGUGGUCAGGUAGAGAAUACCAAGGCGCUUGAGAGAACUCGGGUGAAGGAACUAGGCAAAAUGGUGCCGUAACUUCGGGAGAAGGCACGCUGAUAUGUAGGUGAAGCGACUUGCUCGUGGAGCUGAAAUCAGUCGAAGAUACCAGCUGGCUGCAACUGUUUAUUAAAAACACAGCACUGUGCAAACACGAAAGUGGACGUAUACGGUGUGACGCCUGCCCGGUGCCGGAAGGUUAAUUGAUGGGGUUAGCGGUAACGCGAAGCUCUUGAUCGAAGCCCCGGUAAACGGCGGCCGUAACUAUAACGGUCCUAAGGUAGCGAAAUUCCUUGUCGGGUAAGUUCCGACCUGCACGAAUGGCGUAAUGAUGGCCAGGCUGUCUCCACCCGAGACUCAGUGAAAUUGAACUCGCUGUGAAGAUGCAGUGUACCCGCGGCAAGACGGAAAGACCCCGUGAACCUUUACUAUAGCUUGACACUGAACAUUGAGCCUUGAUGUGUAGGAUAGGUGGGAGGCUUUGAAGUGUGGACGCCAGUCUGCAUGGAGCCGACCUUGAAAUACCACCCUUUAAUGUUUGAUGUUCUAACGUUGGCCCGUAAUCCGGGUUGCGGACAGUGUCUGGUGGGUAGUUUGACUGGGGCGGUCUCCUCCUAAAGAGUAACGGAGGAGCACGAAGGUUGGCUAAUCCUGGUCGGACAUCAGGAGGUUAGUGCAAUGGCAUAAGCCAGCUUGACUGCGAGCGUGACGGCGCGAGCAGGUGCGAAAGCAGGUCAUAGUGAUCCGGUGGUUCUGAAUGGAAGGGCCAUCGCUCAACGGAUAAAAGGUACUCCGGGGAUAACAGGCUGAUACCGCCCAAGAGUUCAUAUCGACGGCGGUGUUUGGCACCUCGAUGUCGGCUCAUCACAUCCUGGGGCUGAAGUAGGUCCCAAGGGUAUGGCUGUUCGCCAUUUAAAGUGGUACGCGAGCUGGGUUUAGAACGUCGUGAGACAGUUCGGUCCCUAUCUGCCGUGGGCGCUGGAGAACUGAGGGGGGCUGCUCCUAGUACGAGAGGACCGGAGUGGACGCAUCACUGGUGUUCGGGUUGUCAUGCCAAUGGCACUGCCCGGUAGCUAAAUGCGGAAGAGAUAAGUGCUGAAAGCAUCUAAGCACGAAACUUGCCCCGAGAUGAGUUCUCCCUGAGACUUAGAGUCUCCUGAAGGAACGUUGAAGACGACGACGUUGAUAGGCCGGGUGUGUAAGCGCAGCGAUGCGUUGAGCUAACCGGUACUAAUGAACCGUGAGGCUUAACCU
rnacentral:rRNA from 1 species